rnacentral:rRNA from 1 species
UACGAAGGGGGCUAGCGUUGCUCGGAAUCACUGGGCGUAAAGGGUGCGUAGGCGGGUCUUUAAGUCAGGGGUGAAAGCCCGGGGCUCAACUCCGGAAUUGCCUUAAGACUGCAUCGCUAGAAUUGUGGAGAGGUGAGUGGAAUUCCGAGUGUAGAGGUGAAAUUCGUAGAUAUUCGGAAGAAACACCAGUGGCGAAGGCGGACUCACUGGAC